GCGGCGGUGGCUGACUGGUAACGGUGUUCGCUUUGUAAGCGAAUAGUUCUGGGUUCAAUUCCCAUCUGCUCCC
rfam:Culex pipiens quinquefasciatus supercont3.2759 genomic scaffold, whole genome shotgun sequence.